rnacentral:lncRNA from 1 species
GUGCCAGCUUAGACCUAGUGGGAAGAUCGGCGGAGUCGGCGGCCGAACCCACUGGGAACUAUAUUUAUAUAGUUCUCACCCCGUGUGGUUUUGGGGUACAGGUACACGUGAAAGCGGGCCGGCAGGUGAUCGUGGUAAGGGCUUAGCGCCCUAGAGUUGGUAGCAUACCUACCUAUUUUGCAUUAGAUUACCUAUACUUUUGAGAGUAGAUGAUGUAUAGGUGUGAGAUAUUUUGGAAGUUAAGUUGUAAACUUUAUGUUAUAUUUUGAAAGCUUAAAUGUAAUCAAGUUGUAUUAGAAGUUGAAUGGAUUUAAUUGUUGAUGCCAAAUGUGAUGUAAUAGUUAGUUUAUAUCUCUCUUUUAUUCACUUGUAUGGUUCUCCUUGUGAUGCUUGCUCUCAUUUUGUUCAGCACUCUUUGUACUCUCGCUAGUUGUUGAAUGAUUGUGUAUAUAUAUUCAAGUGUUUCCUGGGAACUUGUUGUACACAAUCUCGUCGCUUUAGCCUUGGGCGGACAGGGGAGGUGCUGUCAGUUCGGCGGUCCGCCCGGUGCGCCCGAACCGUGCCAAAUUGAUAGUGGUUUCGGGGCGGGGUGUGACAGUUGUGGUAUCAGAGCGAGUUAAGAGCAAGCAAAGAGAGAGUUUAGGACUGACCUAGGAGACCCUAGGAUGGAAACCUUAAGGCUAUAGGUGCGUGAGAGAUGUGAACCUAUGAGUUGUGGCGAAAGGAUUAUGGAUUGGGUUGUGUCGUGAACCUCUAAAACGGAUGUUAGAGGUAGACUCAUGGUGUAGUGUAUUCUCAACCGAGGGUGUUUAUGUUGGGUGCACACAACAUGAAGCCGGGUGAUAAGAAUAGACGCCCUUGCUUGACUUUCGCCCGAUUUGAGUCGCGUUGUCUAGUAAUUGCGCGAGUUUAACGGGUUAAGAUGAUUAACCAGAUGUUUGUGUUUCAGGAGCUGAUGUCCCCGAGAUGCUACGCACGUAGAUCCGUUCCGGUACCACCUCCCGUGGUGCCAGAGCAGGCUGGACCUCCGGUAGCGCCAGAGUCAGCUGGGCCUAGCGAGGUGUAGGAGUUACGAGCGCAAGUUACUGCGCUAACCAGACAGGUCGAGCGGCUCUAGGAGAUUUUGGAGCGGCAAGUGGCGGCGGCAGCCGCGACGACAGCUGAAGAUCGUGGUCCGCUCGCGCCCUCGGCUCGCGCGCCUAAUGCGGCUGAAGGUGUGGGCAUUGCGGCAGCUCCGGCGGCGGCGCAUCCCCCGCCGACGAGUGUUCCUCUAGCGGAUUCGGGUUCAGCGAUACUCGAUGCGGCGACUGAGGAAGCUCUCACGAGGUUUAUGAAAUUCCACCCUCCGACAUUUGAUGGCGUGGUGUCACGCCCCGGGACCCGGCGUAGGCCCGCCCGGUGCGUGCCCAGACCCGCCAUAUGCCUGCACAUAUAAGGCGUCUACAACGAUAACGAAUUAAAGAACAAUAAAUAGAGAAUAUCUAGAGAUAUCAGAGCAAUUAUACAGCUAGGUUCUAUCAACCAGUAGAAACCACAGAAGCUAGACUACUAAAGUAAAAAGUAAAGUAGUACAUCAUAAGUCUCAAAAUACAAAUAGUGGGUGGUCUCUACAAAAUGGUACAAGUCUCUCAACCUCUCCAAAAGAAACAAAAGAGAUGUAGACCACCGAUCCACCAAUCCCUCGCUAGCUAACUCGAGGCGAUUCCUUUCCCGCGAUCCCAAGCCUCUCCCGGGGUGGAAGGCUCUGAAUGAAUAAUCAUAACAAGGGCGAGCGUCGAGAAAUAUAUUUAUUAGUUCACAGUGGGUAAAUUACUGACAUAAGCAAAUGCACACUAGGCAACGAGUAAGAGCAGAUAUAGUAACGAAAUAACAACACAGAAAUACAAGUUAUAUAAUGAAAUGCAUAUACUUAUGUAUGCACAAGGUAUACAUGAUAUGAAUGGAGUACAUCGCACUCCUGUCAAUGAAUCAUAUGCCAAUACAUAAUACUUGUUUUAUAAUGGUAUACCAAGUAUUGCUAUGAUGGCAAAAGUAUAUAUCACGGUAUACUACAUGUCCAAACGUUCCAAUACUUAUUGCUAAAGCCAUGGUCAAGUAUAAACCAAAUACUAAGACGAUUAUGUGAGUAGGAUUGUUUUACAAUGUUUAAUGUCAUUGUUUCAAUAUUUUUUAGGCUUACACAAGUGUAGUCUGGAUUGUGCCGCUACCUGUCCUUGUGGUAGCAUCAUUCAAGUGGAGAUGAGUCUGUCCAAACACGACCCUAGGGCUUGCCGCUAGAUGCACGAUGGUAGCUCAUAUCCACGUGGGAAUGAGGUUGUCCCACGUGACCUACAGGGUCUCAUCCCGCACGCUGCGAAUGCGUAGCAGGCAACUCCGGAAGUACCGGUUGUAGGGGCGACCCUUUUCACAAUAGGAUGUGCGAUAUGCGCCAAGAUGAGAUAGUAACACAUAGUGUCAUGGUCACGGUAUCUCGUCAUUCAUGUGCUCUUAACAUCGGAAUACAUAGUAACCCAAGGGUCUAGUAUAUGUCUCAAAGUGAAGUUCCAAUAUUCACUAAGUCUAGUGCCUCUUUAGGACAUUAGAAAUUGACUAUAAUCCAGCAAUGUUCAAUGUUCAUGCCUUUUAUGGCAAAUUAUUUACUAAGUUCAUACAUGUUCCAUAGCUCUAAUGGUCGCUUAUGAUUUAGUUAACUUAAUACCAAUCUAAGGACAAUGCUCUUUCUAUGAAUUAGCUUACACUAUCAAUAAUGGUUAAUACGCAAUUGCUCUCUAGCAGUAAUCUCAUUGCUAAUAUGUACUAGAUGUAUUACAAUGCAUAUAAAUAUUUAACAUGCAUACUAUCCAUAGAUAUUAUGUUUUCAAUGCGGUCUGUUGCCACAUAAUCACAUAGAUAGUUCAUCAUAAUGCUACAUGAGUACACUUUCCCAAUGCAAAUUACCAAUUCGCAUAAUUCUGCAUAAUAUUAAAUGGCACAUAAAAUUCACAUAUCAUUCAAGUUAAUGCCGCUCUAUUUGGAUUCUUUGUUAGGCUCAUUCAAUUAGCUCAAGUCCGAUGUCUUCAUUACGGACAUUAGUUCACUACUCACAAGUUAAUCAAGUCCAAAGCCAUUUAUGGCCAUGCAUUCUACCUAUGUCAAAUGGAGAUUAUGUUCCAGGAAUAUUACAUUUGUUUAUCUUAUUAUUAUGAGAGCAUGACUCAAGUCCCAAUGUAGAAUGUAACCAUGCUAAGUCUCAACUUGCAAGCUCUCUAUUCAUAAAGGGUUACGAUGCGAUUGCUAUAUAAAUUAAGCAUUUCAAGCCAUUCUAAAAUUCACAAAUAAUGUAUUAUAUGAAAUGCAGUGAUUUUUUCAUUUUACGGAUACUUAAAUCCAAUAAAUGAGCUUUUCUCAUUCAUGUAGAGAGGGUCAACCCACAAGCUCCACAGCAACUUCGUUGCCCCGACUCUCUUUAAGCUCAAAGACUUUAGUAAAUGUCCGUACUAACGAUUGGGUUUCGAUGGUUUUUGGAAGCUUGGCUGGUAGCUGCCGACAUCAUGUCCGAAAUCGGGAACUUUUCUUCAUUCUAUCGUCGUCAGCCUCGUGCGUAUUCGCCCGAACCGACUUCGCGCAACGCUGUCAGAAAAUCUAGCAAUUUAGGUUUAUACAUGCUCAUUUAGAUCAACCACUACAUAUUGCAAAAACCCAAUUUGAGCCUUACAUGCUACUAUUACAAGAAAUCAAACCAAUUGGAACUUGAUUAUGAAUUAACAUGUUAUAGAAUUUCUAGGGAGUUCUCUAACAUUCUAGAGCAUAACGAAUUCACUCCUGUAGAAUUAUACUCAUAGUUACUACCAAAGCUUACCUCCAAAGCUUUCUCUAAUAGAGAGGAAGAAGAUGAAAGCUUGAGCUCCAAGCUACUCUCCAACUUUCAAGGAUUCUACUCCAACUUCUUCUCCAAUUAAUCCUCUUUUUUGGAGAGAUUAGAAGAGAAAAGGAGUGAGGGGUGAGAACUAGAGAGAAAGAGAGAAAAGGAGAAAAGAAACUUGCUCUCCAAGUCUCUCUCGGGUUGGGCACAAAUGAGAAAAAGAGUACAAGUUCACAUAUAUAUAUACUCCCAAAAUACUAUUCACAUCAGAUUGUAGCUCAGGUACAGAUAUUUUUCGUCCGCCCUUCUGAACGUCCGAUUGAGCUCAAAUUUGGCAGUCAUGAUCAGUCUAACCUUACUUAACGAAAGAAAUUUUAAUAUUUCAGUUUCGACCCCGUUUGAUCACCGAAAGCUGUACCGAAUUGUAAUCUUUAUCAGAUAACCGUCGGAUUUAAUUUUUCACCUUCCGGGUGUCAGAAUGGCAUGAAACUUUAAAUCUAGCCUCAUAAAAAUAAUCCUAACAUAUUUUCAAAUUUUCGGAAUUUUCUGACACCGUGCAUUUUCUGCUAAAAUAUCAGCCCCGUCUAUCACAGAAAAUUCUCAAUCUUUUAUUUUCACUCCGAUUUCCGCACGAGUCAAUCCCGACAUAUAAUUUACUUGUCUAAAUCCAAUAAAAAUAGUAUCUCACACUAUUUUUAUUUAUAUUCACUAUUAUUAAAAAUCCGGUAUGCUACACGUGGUGAUAGAUGCUUGGACCGUGGAGACCUGGUUAGCCACGAUGGAGACAUUGUUUGAGGACAUCUAUACCCGAGAGCAAGACAAAGUAAACUUGGCCGCUCAUUGCUUUGAUAAGAGGGCCCGAGUUUGGUGGAGGAGGGUGAAGCAGGAUCGGUCUCCGAACCUUCCCCCGAUUGAUUAGGCGGAGUUCCGAGGGCUGAUGUUCACGGAGUAUUUUCCCGACAGUGAUAAAAGGAAAAUGCGGGAGGAUUUUCGGAAGCUCAAGCAAGGUAACCGUACAGUUCGGGAGUAUGAGCGGGAGUUUACACAUCUCCUGAAUUGCGUUCCUGAUGUGGCAAGGAUCGAGCAAGAUCGUGUGGAGUGCUUCGUGCGGGGACUCCGGCCCGGAGUGUUCCGAAUGGUACAUGCAUUUAAGUUCCGCACCUUUGCGGAAGUGCUAGAUCGUGCUCUGUGGGUCGAGCACGGGAAUGCCUGUGAGCGAGAGGAGCGCGAGGCAUCUGAGAAAGACAAAGGAAAGAAACGGCCUGGCAGUGGUUCGGGGGGACAGUCUAGUUCCAAGAAGCCCCCGAAGUACCCGAGGAGGCAGUCCGAAAGCCAGGGACCUAUGCGAUGUGUGAUCUGCGGUGGGGAGCAUCGCGCAGGGAAUUGUGAGCAUCGGGCGGGACGAUGCUUCAGGUGUGGUCAGGCGGGGCAUAUGAGCCGUCAGUGUCCAGAGGGAUCGCCGCCUGUCCCGUCUAUUGCAUCCGCCCCAGUGACUCUGAGGCAGUUGGGUGGAGUUACGCCUAUUGCCGUAUCUGCGGGACCUACGAGGGCACCUCGUCAGCUCGAGGCGACCCGGUCGGCUCCGAGUGGCCGGGUGUUCGCCGCUCAAGUCGAGGAACCUGCCGAGUUUGAGGCACGCGACAUCGUGGCAGGUAUGGUUUAAUUAAGGCAAUCAUAUAUUUCUGCAUGAUGUAGACUUAUGAAACUGCAUGCAUUUACCUUAUGAUCAUUUACUAUUACUUAUGCAUAAUAAGUAUAGUAGGGACCAGGACAUGAGUCGGUAUAGUUACCUAAGCAUGCAUGAGUUGAGACAGUGUGUCGCCUACCAAAGUAGAUCGGUGGUUGACCAGUGUGCAUAGGCAGGGUUGCCUAAUGCUCGGCGUAGUGUGUAACGCUAUAGUGACGUGUGUUGCUCGGGUGAGCGUGUCGUGUGAGAUGACGGUUGCGGGUAUUGCUUGAGGACGAUCCGUGCUUGGACUACUCGUGGACUGUGGAGCCUGGGGCCUUAUGGACGACAGGCGCAGUCAGCUGUGGGUGACAGCGGCCCGGGGUAGGGCAGAGUUAUGGUCAGGAUGGUAGUCGGAGCUUUAGACCCGGGAACGUGGACUUCCACGUGAUAGAUCAUGGGAUCGAGGAUGCACUGAGAGUGCGGUUGUAGCCCAACCUCAGGAUUUGAAGUGGUUUGGGUCGUGGUUGCUCCUGGUUGGAGUGUGUGCGAAUUCUCCACUGAGAAUUUCGCCCAAUGAUGAUGGGGUCUACGAUGCAAGCAACAGACGCUAUGCGUCGUUGCGACAGGUUUAGGCGGUAGGCCUACGUAGUAUUUGUGACCGUUGGUCCACCUAUGGAAGCCGACGUAAUUGGUUUAGCCGAUAACUCUGUGGAGGAGUUGGAGUAAGGAAGUGAAUUCUCGAAAUACGAGAGUUGGACUUCGCUCAAGAUCGACAAAUUGUCGAGUAGGAGUGCUUCGGAAGAGCCGAAGAAGCCAAAGGCACCAAGAGUGCUUUGGAAUGGAGUUCGCGAGAGCAAAUGGUGCAAGAAUCUGCACAUGGCAGAUUUGCUCUCGGGGACUGGUCCCUCGCGAGAGGGACCGGUUCCCGUACGUGGUCUGCGUGAGCUUGCUCUCAGGGACCGGUCCCCAGGAGGGAGGGACCGGUUGCUCCGAGGCUGAGGGUUGCGCAGCGCGGGGCAACCGGUUCCCUGACAGGAGAGACCGGUCCCCGAGUGUGAAACUUGCCCAGGCAGGCUGGGUUAUGUUGGAGGAGCUGGAGAACUUGAGGAUAAUGCUCUUUUAUGGAUUGAGAUUCGAGAUGCGCCAAAGUGGGCCAUCUCUCGAUAGAGCAAAGAUCCAGGUAUAGUUGGAGCACUCGUGAACGGUCGAUGCACCAAUGAUAUUGCUCCUAAGCAAUGCCGAUGGUCAAGCCGAAAUGGAUUUCCCGAUUGGGUGUGUAUUGCAAAGAAUGGUUCUAUGCAUGGUGGUAAUGCACUUUUGGUGUUACACUUAGCAAAUGUGAGUGGAUCUAGUCUCACAUCCUCCGUAGUGGACCUUUGGACAAUUCCAAUGAGUUAAGGGCCACUCCGGAGCACGAAAAUGCAUUGGAACCCUCGAUGACCCAUAAGUUGAGUUGAGGUGCGAGUUGGGUUUGGAGCGAAUUAGUUUCGAAGACGAAACUCCUUUUAAGGAGGGGAGAAUGUAACAUACCGGACUUCUAAAAUCACGAAGUCACGGAAUACAUUUUAUUGGUAAGCCGUUUGAAUGGUCUCGGUGAGGUCCCGGUGAGGUCCGGAAGCAUUCGGGCGUUCCGGUGCGCAUAGCGCUAAACGGAGCCCGAAGGGCCGUGUUGGGCUGUGAGCCAAAUCCGGCAUUAGCGUGGAUGAAAAGAUGAUGAAAAUACGCUCGAGAACAUGUUUGGAGAGUCUCAGUUCGAUUUGAAGAGAAUCAGAGGUCAAACGAGCGAAAACGAGCAAAAACGGAGCUAAAACGGCGAAAAAUGCUGAAAUUUGGCUAAGUCCUUAAUUGCUGAAAAUCUGGACCUACGGGGACCGGUCCCUCAAGUCCAGGGACCGGUCCCAUAUACAAAAAUGGCCCCCGCGCGGGGCAAUGCAGGAAACAUGAAGUUGAGGGGCUUUUUGACAAUUUUGCCACAUGAGGAGUUGAUUAGAGGGGCUAGGGCUCAUUUCCUCUCACUCCCUCACACUCCUACCCUAAAAGAACACCCUCUCUCUCUCUCUAGAGCUCUCUCUCUCUCUUGGAGUUGAUCAAGAAGGAGGAGAAGGAGGAGAUUUGGAGCUUGAGGGAGCAAAAGCUUCAUCUUCCUCUUCCAUUGCUUGGAGAAGAAGCUUGGUAGAGGUAAGGUUUUGAACCCCUCUCACGGUGAAUGGCUUGGAUUGAGUUUGAAUACCUUGGAGAUAGGAUUUAUUGAUGCUUUAGAGAUUGUCAAUCUCAUUUGUUGCAAGGUUUAUAGCUUGAUGUUGCUUUUUGCAACAAUGAGGAUUUAGGGCUCCAAAUGAGGGCUUUAAUGGUAGAUCUCUAAGGUGUGAUUUAAAUGCUCUAGAAAUGGAUUUAGCAGCAUUCUUAGAUGCUAAUUAGAUGUUUAUUGCUUAAAGCUAGGGUCCAAAUGGUAGAUUUUUGCCUAGUAUCAAACCUAAGGGUUUAAAAUGGGGUUUUUGUAAAUACUUGGGUUUGAUCUAAAUUGUGUGGUCAGAAACCUAAUUGUUGUGUCUCCGAACGCGUAGGAAGCGACGGUUCGUCGAUUCGUCGAGCGGGUGCGACGUUCCGGCUGAAACAAGUGUUCGUGAGUUCGUAUUGGCCUGGAGAGUCGAGGCGGCUUCAAUAAAUCGUGGGAUUGAAUCCUGAGCAUCGCAACAGGAAACCGAUGACCUAUAAUUCUCGGAUCGCGAAGCGGAGGUCAUUCGGUGGUCGCGCGUGAAUAGGGUCUAGCCGAGCGGCGUGCGUCACGGGAGGCCGAUUGCGAGUGAUGACGAGUAAUCGGAACGCUAUAAAAAGGGGGGGGUGUCUAACCGAAGCAAUCGGGCUUCCUUCUAUGUCCGAGUUAGAUCUUUGGUCAUAUUACACAUAUGUUUCUUAUGCAUUAUAGGAUGUAUGUAUUAUUAUAUUUCUACUUUCCUUGAAUGCAUGUCUAGUUGUGUAGUAUUAUGGACUUGACACCUAAAUCUAGAAUGCAUGAGGGCGAAGGUUUAGAUAUGAGAUCCUAUAAUGAAAAGAAAAUAAAGAACUUGGACUUGAUAAUGAAACUAGUGACAUGUGAACUAGUGUAAUGGAGAUUGUAUGCAUGUAGCAUUAUGAAUGGAUUGCAUGCUAGUUGAUAAUGGCAUAUUAGCAUUAUGAAGAUGUAUACUAGAUGUAUGAUAUAUGUUGGCUUUAUAGAACAUAUGUGCUAGAUGAAAAUGAAUGUUAACCUAUAGUUAAUUAUGGAGAUUAUGAGGCAUGUGGCAUCUAAACCUAGUGUCGUUAACCUAGGAUAGAUUGAGUGGCAUUAACAUAAUGUUGUUAAACAUAGGUUGACAUUAAACCUAGUGUUGUGGAACCUAGAGUUGAUUAGACCUAGGUGAGUGGCAUCGAGAUUUAGUGCGGUUGAGACACUUGACAUGGACCUAGGGAUAGGUGGAUUAUCAAGUGAGGGUUAACCUAGUUGACAGGGUAUCCUCAGUUGGCGAGGAUUCGAUCAUACUCACAUAGUCUAUUUUGGGCUUGUGGCGGUCGCUCCCCACAAGCAGUGCACUCCGGAGUUGUCAUACGAGCUGGGUAGCUUAUGAGCGGGGUUGUCACGCCCCGGGACCGGCGAAGGCCCUCCCGGUAGCGUGCCCAGACCCGCCAUAUGUCUACACAUAUAAGGCGUCUACAAUAAAAGCGGAAGUAAAAGCAAGUAAUAAAACAAUAGAAGAAGUGAAAUAAUGAGCAGCUAAUGAUAUCAGAGCGAGUAAAGUUCUAACAUCUAUACUAAUAGUAAUAGAACAUACCUAAUACAUAAAAGUAAAUAUAAGUUAUACAGUAUCAGCCUCUAAUACAAAACGGUGGUCUCUAGUACACUGGUAAAACUCUCAACCUCUCCAAAAUAAAGUACAACGAGAGGUAGACCACCUAGCAAGUCGUCCUCGUAGGAAGCUAGCUCAAAGCAACUCCCUUCCCGCGGUCCCUGGCCUCACCCUGAGUGGAAGGCUCUGAAAAACAUCGAGAAAAAGAGGGCGUGAGAACUAUAAUUUAUAGUUCCCAGUGGGCAAUUACUGACCUCAGCUCAAUGCACCACUAGGCCCCAAAAGAAAAGGGUAAGUACAACAAUAAGAGUAACGAGUAAAUUGCAUAUUAGAAAGCAUAAUAAUUAGGAUGCUAAGCUACAACUUGCAAUUAAACAUGGCAUUCCUAAUGCGACCUUAUUUUGUCAUGGAUAUAUAUGUUCACAAGUAAUAUCAUGCUUUACUUUAUACAGAUAUGACAGUAAUACUUGGUCAUGACUACAAUGCAUAUAAGGAUGCGUCAUGACUACAAUGCAUAUAAGGAUGCAAUAAACAACAUCUCCUAGCAUACUACAUGUAUGUAUGAAUACCCAAAUGUCCACAACUAUGCUAGAAGUAAGUCCAAGUAAUCCUACUACUACUCUCUGACUAGUAGUGAUCAUAAUAAACUCAACACCGUGUCGAUUUCCAUUUCCAAUUAAGGACCUACCAAAGGUAGUCCAGCUUGUGCCGCCUAAGUGCCUGUGGUAGCCCGACAUCCCUACUCUUGGAAUGUGUCUGUCCCACUCGACCCCGUAGGCUUCUCAAUACCGCACGAGCGAACAUAAGUCGCGUAGGCUAACUCCGGAGUGCCGGCUUGUAGGGAGCGACCCUCACAAGCAUGUGCGAAUGAGCACAAAUGGCAAACAAGCAAGGUCACUGUCUCAAAUACUCUAUCCGCAUGUCUCUAACAUGGCAAGGUCACUAGCAUCCCAAGGAUCUAGCCCAAUGUCUCUAAGUGAUGUCCCAACACUCACUUGCUUAGUGCCUCUUUAUGACACUUAAGCAUCACACUGAUCAAGCUCAAUUCUUGUUCUAUGUUUCAUUUAAACAUUAAUACUAAUGACUACUAUAGCCCGGGCCCAAUGCCUCUUUAUGACAUUGGCCCAAUUCUCAAAUAGUCCAAGUUCUCAAGCCCUCUCUAGGCUUCUAAAAUUCCUAAUGUCCCAAUUGGCAUAUAGGUUAAAUGCAAGAGAGCAAGAUCCGUUUUCAUAAUAGGGAUCAUGGUUCCCAAUCCUAACUAGAAUGCUAAGUCUCACAUGCAUGCACUCUACCACAUAGGGGUCUAAAAUUUCACUAUACAUAAUAUAUGCAUGUUAAGCAUUCUAAAAUUCAUAUUAAAUACAUUUAACAUGGAAAUGCAUGAAUUUCUACUUUACGAAACAUAUUUGCCAAAUAUGAGCAUUUCUCAUAUCAUAGGCUAGGUCAAACCCACCGAACCGUCGCGUGCUCCUUCGAUUCGCCGAACGGAGUUGUCCACGAGUCUCACAAUACCCUAAAAGUAAUCAGCGAAGAGAUACGAGAGCAUUACGACCAACCAAGAGAUCAAACAUUAACCUAGAAGCAAAAAGGGCCAACAUUUACCUCAAGAGUAGAAAUCUCUCCCAAAGCUCCAAAAGAGAGCUAGAACCCUUCCAAUCCAAGCCCUAGGAAGAUUCUAAACCAAUCAAUCUAGCCUCAAAAGCCCUAGAUCAAAAAGCCCCAAAAUCAACCCUAAAUCUCAUUUCUAGGGUUUCAUCUCCCAAAAAUCACAAAAACAAGAAUCUAGAGGAGGGAAACAUGAUACUAACCCUUAGGAAGCUUCAAUCCAAGCCCAAAAUGCCCAAGGGUUGAAGUUUGGUCCACCACUAAGCUCUACAAGCAAGCUCCAAGUCUUGCAAAGGUGGGAAAGAGAGAAAGGGGUUGAGCUCCAAGCUCCCUCAAGCUAGCCCUCUUCUUCUUCUCCUCCUUCUUCUUCUUCUUCUCUCUCUAGAAAGUGUAGGGAGAGGGUGAGAAUGAGAGAAUGAGAGAGGGAAGAGGGGGAAAUGGCUAAUAAGCCCAUCUAGUGCAAUAAAAUCCGGAGAGGCCCCUCAAAAACUCGAUAUUGCAACAGCCCGAACUGGGCAGUUUUCGCCCAGAGGGACCGGUCUCUCCCCAGCAGGGACCGGUCUCUCGCUGCGAACCCGAAAAACCAGCGUUCGAGAACCGGUCUCUCCCUGCGCGGGACCGGUCUCUCACUGCGAAGACGCGCUCGGGGACCGGUCUCGCCUGCCAGGGACCGGUUGCCUCAGGCUGCCUCAACACUGCUCACUGGGGGACCGGUCUCUCCUUCCAGGGACCGGUCCCCGAGAGUGAAAACUCUCAGGACUGUCCAGAAUUCCAGUUUUCGAACUUUUUAGGUCGGAAAACAUUCUACAACCCUCCACCAAGUGUGGAAAAGCUCGAAAUACACCCAAACACUCGAACCCCGCAAUUUGCAAAGGUCCAGUGCGUCACAGGGGUAGCUCACCGGGUGGGAUACGAGCGGGGUAGCUCCCCACCCAUUGGACUGGGAAGUGAGUCGGGCGAAGGGCGGGGUAGCUCUUUACCUGUGAGAUUUGAGCGGGGUAGCACUUGACCUAUGAGAUUAAGGUUAGAGUCGGGGCGAAGAGCGGGGUAGCUCUUGCCCUUAGGCAUUCGGUUAUGAGUUGGGCGAGGAGCGGGGUAGCUCUUCACCUAUAGGACUUGAGAUCUAAGUUGGGUAAGAGCGGGGUAGCUCUUUACCUAUAGUAUUAGAGUUGUGAGACGGGUGAGACAAGAGCGGGGUAGCUCUUCACCUAUGUGGUUCGAGAUCUUAGGCGGGGUAGCCGAACGGAUUGGGUAAUAACAUGAAUUGCAUAAGUGAAUUUGCAUUCAUACCAUGAUUAGACAGAGUACACUGCAUAACUAUGUUGUAGUUGUAAUUAUUUCAUUGUUAAAGCAUACUAGCAUGAUAAAUGAUGUUGCAUGCAUUCCUUGCAUUUGGUGGCAUAUUAGAUAUAGUAGCAGUUUAUUUCUAUAUAUCUAUCUAUCUAUCUAUCUGUGCCGGCCUAGACCUAGUGGGAAGAUCGGCGGAGUCGGCGGCCGAACCCACUGGGAACUAUAUUUAUAUAGUUCUCACCCCGUAUGGUUUUGGGGUACAGGUACACGUGAGAGCGGACCGGCAGGUGAUCGUUGUAAGGGCUUAGCGCCCUAGAGUUGGUAGCAUACCUACCUAUUUUGCAUUAGAUUACCUAUACUUUUGAGAGUAGAUGAUGUAUAGGUGUGAGAUAUUUUGGAAGUUAAGUUGUAAACUUUAUGUUAUAUUUUGAAAGCUUAAAUGUAAUCAAGUUGUAUUAGAAGUUGAAUGGAUUUAAUUGUUGAUGCCAAAUGUGAUGUAAUAGUUAGUUUAUAUCUCUCUUUUAUUCACUUGUAUGGUUAUACUUGUGAUGCUUGCUCUC